rnacentral:rRNA from 1 species
GACAAACGCGUGCGGUAUGCCUAACACAUGCAAGUCGAACGAAGCUUUUGGUUUACCAUAAGUUUAGUGGCGGACGGGUGAGUAACACGUGGGUAACCUGCCCAAAAGAAGGGGAUAACAUUUGGAAACAAGUGCUAAUACCGUAUAACCAUGAUGACCGCAUGGUCAUGAUGUAAAAGGUGGUUUUGCUAUCGCUUUUGGAUGGACCCGCGGCGUAUUAACUAGUUGGUAAGGUAACGGCUUACCAAGGUGAUGAUACGUAGCCGAACUGAGAGGUUGAUCGGCCACAAUGGGACUGAGACACGGCCCAUACUCCUACGGGAGGCAGCAGUAGGGAAUCUUCCACAAUGGGCGCAAGCCUGAUGGAGCAACGCCGCGUGAAUGAAGAAGGUCUUCGGAUCGUAAAGUUCUGUUAUUAGAGAAGAACACGUGUAAGAGUAACUGAUUAUGCGUUGACGGUAUCUAAUCAGCAAGUCACGGCUAACUACGUGCCAGCAGCCGCCGUAAAAC